CUGAGUUCCAGUAUGUUAGUGCUAUCAUGCCAACUCCUCAUCACUCACUGUCAUGUUUGGCUUGACAAGGACAGCAGUGGAGUUGGCAAGAGCACAAACAGAUCUGGGACCAGGCUAUGUGGGGGUGGGGGGUGGGAGGGGUUUGAUGUGAUAUCUGUCUGACAUCAUAACCAAACUGUCCUAUCAGGGAAAAGUAGUGUGACAACCUCAAAGCCAGCAUUCUUAACCAUGCUUGUCCUUGUUUGUGUCCCAAUAAUCUAUCCUUCCUCCUGAAGGGUGAACUUGUUCACUGAUCCCCAUGAAUCUAAAAGCAUUGGAUUGGUGGAGACAUGGGCUCGCUAGACUAUAGAAUUUUACACAAUAUUUCUUACACAAGUCAUUUCGUUUCAAAGUCCUUGAAGGGAAGUUAUCAAGUGCACACUUUUAGAGAAAGGAGAGAUUAUUGGGACGUGAACCCUAGUUAUCAGUUGGUUUGGUUGGUUUUUAAUCAGUGACCAUCAGUGUCAUAGGGUCAUAUGAAGCAGGAGGGGUGGAGAUAUGUCCUCUACCCCACCCCAAUAUCUCCAGCCUUAUCCAAGACCAGACCUGUGUGCUGUAAGUGCCAUUGAACCAUGUUCUUUGUACCCCAACGGAUGUAGUCAGUAUGUAUUUUCUGCAUAAGGCCCAUAUUGAUUAAUGUUUGUUUACUUGGUUGGACUCAUUUUCACUUGUUAAGUUGGGUUUCGUCCCAAAUGGCACCCUUCAGUAUUCCCUUUAUAGUGCACUAUAGGGCUCUGGUUAAAAGUAGUACAGUAGGGAAUACAAGACGAUAGCAUGAAUAAGGACUCCUUCGUGUGUGCGUGAACAAAGAGGAACAAAGAGAGAAUAGGACGAAAGGUUUUUACAGUAUUUAAGGGGAUUUUCCUGUAUUUGAGCGUCAGACAUUAUUAGAUGAGUGCACUUGUUUUACAAAAUGGUGGCAAGCUAACCCGCACUUCAGGUAACAAACGUUAGUGAACGUGGUCCCUGUGUUUUAUGAAGUGUUUCAGUUGACUUGACCUUUACAGUGUUACAGAAUUAUUUUCAGUUUGGUUUUUUAGUUUAGAGUUUUCUAUAUGUGUGUGUCCUGUGUAUGUUUUCAACCAUGGCAGUAUUAGAAACCUUUUCCAUGAGGAAAGCGUACCUGUUUAGUUUUUAGAGGACUUUUUAUAUUUACGUGUCUUAUUUUUCUAUUUCUUUAUGCUUAUUUAUUACACACAUUGUAGUGUACAAUAGUGUAGUGUGAAUUGAUACAAUAAUAUAUUUUAGUAUGAAAAAUGAUUUGAAGGUCAUUGAAUCCAGAGUAGGAAGUGGCGCUCUGGGGGCGAUGAAGUUUGUUUUGAAAAAGGUAUUAACAUGAAAAGAAGAAGAAAUAAAUGAAGAGAGAAACGGAAAGUGUUUCAUCCAUCAUCAGGCUGGUUAGACUGACCUGUUCUUACUGUGAUAUGAAGCUACUGAAAACUAACUGUGUGACUAAAACGCAUGAGUCCUUGCUGUUGUAAUGAAGGAUUGAUCUCGUUAUGAAGAUGUACGUUAAACUCCUUUUUUUCUUUUUUUUUCAAAGCCAAAAUUAGAUUCUCAUGUCCUUUGUCGUUCUGUUUUGUGCCAAUUUGUUACGUUGUACUGUUAUAUGUCAGAGGUUACGAUUUGUUUUAUACAUUUCCCGUUUAAUCCACUCUGUUUUUAUAGUUUUAUUUUGUUUUAUUUUGUUCCAUUUUUUUACUACUUCCCAUCACAAUAAAAUACAAGAAAGCAUUUCUGAGAUGGGCUG
ensembl:lncRNA